GACGAACGCUGGCGGCGUGCUUAACACAUGCAAGUCGAACGGAAAGGCCCUGCUUUUGUGGGGUGCUCGAGUGGCGAACGGGUGAGUAACACGUGAGUAACCUGCCCUUGACUUUGGGUUAACUUCAGGAAACUGGGGCUAAUACCGGAUAGGAGCUCCUGCUGCAUGGUGGGGGUUGGAAAGUUUCGGCGGUUGGGGAUGGACUCGCGGCUUAUCAGCUUGUUGGUGGGGUAGUGGCUUACCAAGGCUUUGACGGGUAGCCGGCCUGAGAGGGUGACCGGCCACAUUGGGACUGAGAUGCGGCCCAGACUCCUACGGGAGGCAGCAGUGGGGAAUAUUGCACAAUGGGCGGAAGCCUGAUGCAGCAACGCCGCGUGCGGGAUGACGGCCUUCGGGUUGUAAACCGCUUUCGCCUGUGACGAAGCGUGAGUGACGGUAAUGGGUAAAGAAGCACCGGCUAACUACGUG
rnacentral:rRNA from 1 species